rnacentral:rRNA from 1 species
GACGAACGCUGGCGGCGUGCCUAUUACAUGCAAGUAGAACGCACAGUUUAUACCGUAGCUUGCUCCACCAUAGACUGUGAGUUGCGAACGGGUGAGUAACGCGUAGGUAACCUGCCUGGUAGCGGGGGAUAACUAUUGGAAACGAUAGCUAAUACCGCAUAAUAUUAAUUAUUGCAUGAUAAUUAAUUGAAAGGUGCAAUUGCACCACUACCAGAUGGACCUGCGUUGUAUUAGCUAGUAGGUGAGGUAACGGCUCACCUAGGCGACGAUACAUAGCCGACCUGAGAGGGUGAUCGGCCACACUGGGACUGAGACACGGCCCAGACUCCUACGGGAGGCAGCAGUAGGGAAUCUCCGGCAAUGGACGAAAGUCUGACCGAGCAACGCCGCGUGAGUGAAGAAGGUUUUCGGAUCGUAAAGCUCUGUUGUAAGAGAAGAACGGGUGUGAGAGUGGAAAGUUCACACUGUGACGGUAUCUUACCAGAAAGGGACGGCUAACUACGUG